CCCCGGCGGACCGGGCGAAAGGGUGCGCGGCCGGCGGCCGUGCCGGUGCGCGGGUUCCGCUUCCGCGUCGGGGA
rnacentral:tRNA from 1 species